rnacentral:rRNA from 1 species
CAGUAGCCGCGGUAAUACGGAGGAUCCAAGCGUUAUCCGGAUUUAUUGGGUUUAAAGGGUGCGUAGGCGGCCUAUUAAGUCAGGGGUGAAAGACGGUAGCUUAACUAUCGCAGUGCCUUUGAUACUGAUGGGCUUGAAUACACUUGAGGUAGGCGGAAUGUGACAAGUAGCGGUGAAAUGCAUAGAUAUGUCACAGAACACCAAUUGCGAAGGCAGCUUACUAAAGUGUCAUUGACGCUGAGGCACGAAAGCGUGGGGAUCAAACAGGAUUAGAUACCCGAGUAGUCCCUGUCUCUUAUAC